rnacentral:tRNA from 1 species
UGGAUUGUAGUUUAUUAAAACGUGUAAUUUGCAAUUACAAAAAACUGUAUUAGUCUAUCUAA